AUGUCUUCGCCGAGCAGAGUGGGAGGAGGAGUUCAGGUAGGUGAUUGCAGUGGUCAUAAUGAUACACCAAUUGGCUCUUGUUGUCCUGGUGGUAAGGAUCAUGGUGGUGAGGGAGGACAUCAAGUGAAUUCGCCAAUUGAAUCUUCUCCCAUAAGUGUGGCCCCUCCUUCUGAGGGUGAUGUUGGUGUGAGCUUUGACCAGAGACGUCCCGUCUUGUCUGAAACACAAUCGCAGUCUGUUGAUGGUACAGAGGAAGUUACACAGGAGUGGAUGGUCUCGGAACAGCUUCGUGCAUAUGAAUUGAAGCAAAGCAAGAAGAAGUUGAGGUUUGAAGGUGACUCAAAAGAGUUUGCGGAGAAGGAGAAGCAGAGGAGAGCUGCAGAUGGUGCCAAGGGUGCCAAAUUUUUCAAAAAUCUUGGUAAGAGAACUGCUCAAGCUGGUGGAAAUGAUCCUCAGCGCAAGCGACUACAUGUUAGUGAAGGUCCCAACUCUGACGAUGACGACUUUGUGCUUGCUGAUUUUGUGAGGGAUGUUCAUACUGGUAGACGCAAAGACUGUGGUUCAUCUAAGAGUCUGCCCAAGCGUGCCCGUGAUGAUGGCGAUGAAGGUGUUGGUGCUGACUCUGGCGAGGAGGCGGAUGUUGUUCCAAAGAGGAAGAAGUCUAGUAAGAGCAAUGCAACUGAAGAUGAUGCCGAGGGAGAUGAUUCUUGGUUUAACAAGACCAUACGUUUGUCGGUUCCAACUGUUUGCAAGGCUGCUGCUUUAUUGAAAGACGCACACUGUAGUCGUGUUCGGGAUGCUGGAUUCGGUGUUGUGUUUGAAUUGACAGUAAAGAAAAAUGUGUUGCACAUUCUUAUGUGCUAUCUGAUGGGAGUGAUUGGCCCUGCCACCAUGAUAAUGGACUUUGGGAAUGGCAGGGUUCUUCGAAUCAAUCGUGAUGCAGUUCAUCACAUUUUUGAUUUACGUAUGGGAUGUCACACUGCACCCACACCUGCUGCCAGCGGCCAUGAUGACUCGUUGAUUGUCCUCAAGGAUGAGCUUGGCUUUGACCGUUCAAAAAGUAUAUUUGUCAAGGACUUGCUUGAGAAGUUGAAGGUGUUGGUGGAGGAAGAUGAUCAUGUGACUGUUGAUCUUGCUGUGAAGGUGUUCUUCCUGAUACUUUACCAGAAUUUGCUGUGCCCGGGGCCUGCAGUUCGUUUGGGUAGAGUUGCUGCAAUGGUAGAGAACAUGGAUUAUGCAUCUAUGGCGCAGAUGGACUUUUGCCAGCUUGUUGUUGAUGAGUUGCAGGCAGCUGUGGUGAGGUGGCAAACAGAAGGCAACAAGCAGAAUUGUGUAGAGGGUUGUGCCAUUGUCCCCCUGAUUAUGUAUCUUGAUUGCUUGAAGCUUUGCAAAUUUUCAGUUAUGCACACGUUGACGCCACGUGCGUCAUACCUGACGACCAAGGACCUGAUGAAGUUAUACAAUGAGGAUGUGCUUGUCAAGGGAAAGAUUUACUUGGAAACUUACAAAUUUGGGAAGCUGCCGUGGAAGGCGUCAGGUGAUAUUGUGUACAACCGUCCUGCUGCAGUUGUAUGUGGCAGCUCUGAUGCGGGGCCUAGCACUCAUGCUAGGUUUUAUGAGCCUAUCUGUAGCCAGCUUCCUGCUUGUGAUGAUGAGGUGCCGCGUAUUCGUGGUUUCACGGCUCGUCAGAUGUUUGAUAAUAGAAGCUCUUCUAAACAGACAUUUGUUGGCGGGAAAAAACACGAGGAGAUUGAUGAGCUUCUUCUGAAGUUGAGACAUUCACAGGAAGACAAAUGCGGUCGGUAUGAGAAGGAUGUUGAGCAUUUUUUGGAUGAAAUGAACCGUCAGGACGCUAGCGUCGGCGCUGAUAAUGCUGGAGUGGAAUCUUCUGGUGUCCAUGGAUCUAGGGAUGAUGGAAUUGGUCAGACUGGAGUUUCUGCUUGUGAUGUGCACAAAGAUUCCUACGAUGGCUGUGGGAAGGAUGAGGUCUUGGCUGAUGCAUCGUCCCCUCCGGAUUUUGUAGCCGAUAAGACUGUUGUAAAUCCAGAUAAUGCUGAUGUUGCUACGGAAGGGCAGUCCAGUGAGGUUGUGGUGGAUUCGUCGCAACCUAGCCAAACAAGUAUUUGGCAUGGUGGUACUGUAGGUAGGAGUGUUAAAAUGAUGUUCUCUUCAAAAGCCGAGGAGCGUGUUGAUAAAAAAGAUAUGGUCCUGUUUGCAACAUUUGAUCCGCCAGAGACGAGGGAUGGCGUUGGUCAUUAUUGUGUAGUUGCCUUAAAUGUGAAAGAAAGGCGAUUUGAAUUUCUUGACUCGCUCAAUAAACCUGGCAGCCCUGAUGCGAUCAGGGUUUUUAGGAGGAUGGUUAAAAAUAUCAAGCGUGCAUGGAAAGAAGGUUUUGAUGGGGGGCUUCAUGAAGGCUGUACGUCACUGUUUGAGUCCCAGGGUUCUGCGGUGGUUAUGGAGGAUUGUGCCAUUGAAAUCUCUCCUGAUAAUUCUGGUUCUUUGGCUGGAGAUGGUUUGAACACAGAUGUGGCGUAUGGACCUGAUGGUGGAAGUAUUUCUCGACCUAGCUCUCCACACGAUGUAUUUGAUGUUGAUGAUGAUGAUUUUGUUACGCCGUGUCCAUGCGUCACUAGGACUAGGAGUGCAGCAAUUAAUCGUCCUCCUGUGGAUGAGGCUGAAGUAUUUUUGAACAAGAGGGCAGGUGAGAGGGGUUUUAAGUUGACAUUCUCUAUAGAGAAAUUGAAGCCUCCGAGGUUCAAAUACAUUGAUGAGGCGAGGAAAAUAAAGGACCUCGUUCUCAGCAAAGAUUUUGUAACCAAAUACCACGAGAACACGUUCUUUAUGGUGGAUAAUCCUUUUGGUGAUGUCGAAAAUUACAAUGUUGACUAUAUCUAUAAUACAUUUGGCAAAGGAGCUUUAAUGGACUCGUAUCUUAUGGAUUUUGUCAUCAAGUACUGGAAGCAAGACCCUGAAUUGGGUUUAGUUUAUCGUUUUGGUGAACGUGUGCGACUUCACCUUUAUUUAUCACGAAAGAUGAUGAAGGACACCUUGUGUUGCCAGUUGUGCAUACCCCCGUUUGUUUUAGAAGAUGCAGUUAAGCAGUUCAAGGUUUUUGUGAGUGGCAAUGAAAACCUGUUGGACGCAAAACUGAUUAUGAUGCCGCGCUCCAACGAUGGUCAUUAUUCCUUAUACACGAUGAACCAGCAUCGCCAGACGAUUGAUAUCCAUGACACUAGGAAGUACACUGGCCAUCCUGAUUUCAUGACAAAGUGGCGCAGGACUAACUACCACUCAGAUUGCACUGAAGUGCCUGCCAUUGAAGAUUGGAAGGCGGAGUGCAUGUUCCAGCUGUUGUUCAAUCCUUCGAACAUGUUGUAUUAUGAAGACAUGUUGCUUGAGCUAUGA
rnacentral:rRNA from 1 species